rnacentral:miRNA from 1 species
UUCAGCUGGAGCUUCAGGCAC